rnacentral:rRNA from 1 species
AGCGAACGCUGGCGGCGUGCUUAACACAUGCAAGUCGAGCGAGAAAGGGGGCUUCGGCCCCUGAGUACAGCGGCGAACGGGUGCGUAAUACAUGAGCAAUCUACCCUUGAGGCGGGAAUAACCCAGCGAAAGUUGGGCUAAUACCGGAUAAGACCACAAGAGGAGACCCUAGAGGCUAAAGGCAGCUCUCUUUUGGGGGCGGCCCUUUGAGGAGGAGCUCAUGUCCUAUCAGCUAGUUGGUAGGGUAACGGCCUACCAAGGCGAAGACGGGUAGCUGGUCUUAGAGGAUGAUCAGCCACACGGGGACUGAGACACGGCCCCGACUCCUACGGGAGGCAGCAGUGGGGAAUAUUGGGCAAUGGGGGAAACCCUGACCCAGCGACGCCGCGUGGGUGAUGAAGGCC